rnacentral:hammerhead_ribozyme from 1 species
GCACUGUUGAGGAGUCCUGUAACAGGACGAAACGGCUGUCCAGUGC